GGUGGUGCAAAAGACAGGGGGACUGUCCCCAGAGGACUGGCAGAGAAGACCAUCUGAACCUGGCAGCCUAGUCCGAGAUUACCACCCUGAUCAGUGCUAUCUCCACAGUGCAAUAUGAAGGUCAGCUGUGCUCAGGAGAAAAUGGCCCAUAUCUGGGAAGGAAAAGCCAAGGCAGGUAGAGAGAGGGGUUCCUGACCUUAAAGCUCACCAUUCCUCAUAAGGAGACAAUCCUGGCCCUUGCAGGAGAAGACAGGGGCUGCUCCUGUGGGAAUGCUGAGCUAUCCAUGUUCCACCAACCAGGUACAUCUAACGUGAACUAUUUCCUUGGUGAAAUGGAGAAAGCAUUGGCAAGGCUGCCUCUUACACCGUUCCAAAUACUGAUACUACUGCAAACAUCCCAAUGGGGACAUUAGCCUAAGAGAGGGUGUGACCACAAUCUGUUGAGCAUUUCACUGUGACAUGAUAAAAUACCCGAGGCUCCUGGCACUCAGAGGACUGCCAAAGACCAGGUACCUGCUCAGCCACGGACAGGAGAUGACUAGUAACACUAUAGUGUUGCACCUUGUCUGCAUGCACAGAGGUGAAGAGGAGUGGCAGACAGAUAUAUGGAAUCAAUGGCCCUCAUUGCCCAGAAGUUGUAGCUGCGCAUUGUGGAAUGCAUCUGUCUGGGUGCCUCCAUGGACAUGUUGUUGGCUGCCAUGGAAAGCCAGGUCCAGUAUCCUGACAGUCUACGAGGGAGGACACAUAUCUGCACUCGGUGGUCUAUCUACUGGCCUUCAGGACCAUAGGCACAUUAUCAAGGGAAUGGGAUGGUGAGUGAGCUCCACAGGUGCUCCUCUGUCACAGGGAGAAAAGGUAGUUCCAGUAGGCACCCAGUUAAUGGAGGAACCACACAAACCCCCUCAGAAGUCUCCACUCUGGAAUCUCCAAUAGUGGCUGGGGACCCACCUCUGCCCUGCAUGCUCAACUGACACUUUUAAGUUCACACCAAGGUUGAUCAACCUUCAAGAAAACCAUCUUCAAGUCUGGACCAUUACACUUACUCCCUAGGGUCAGUCGUUCAAAUCUCCAGGUCAACGGGCUCCACGAGAGAGCAGUGGUUUCCCACACCAACUAU